GAUCAGAGCUGGACAUGGCUGAGGAGGGGGUGCCUGCUCCCAUGGGAUGCUGCCCACUUGUCUCUUGCAAAGUGGGUCACUGAUGUUUUCAGAUCUGCUGUUUUCUGUUUGGAGCCUUUAUUGUAGGAAAACCUGCACAUGAAGAAAGGAAAAAAGAAGUAAAUGGAAAACAAACCAGAGUCAUGUCCAUUAAAUUCUUCUGCGGAAAUGCUGGCCUGCCUUCUUCAAGUAUUUGGACCUGCUGCAGAAUAUGCAAGGCAGGUUCUCUGGUCAGCAGUAAUUCUGGGGUCUGGUUCUGCUCUCCCUCAAGAGCUGUCAGUCUUCAGGCAGCUUGUUGCUUUGUGCUCCUUCCACACAGGAGCAGACGAACUCAUGAAUGAAACAUUACUGAUACUGAAGAGAACUCCUGGCAUCCACCUCAGCAGAAGAAACUGA
rnacentral:lncRNA from 1 species